AAAAAAAAGCCUGGACUGUCCUCCCUCCUUGUCCCGGUUGUGUCCGGACUUCCGUGAGGAGCUGUGGCCCUCGUCUGGUGCCAGUCUUGGUUCACCGUGCUGCUAGCCCCUGGGAGCCCCGCGGCCUCCCUCUCUCCCCCUCCCCCGUCCUCUCAGCUAAAUCAAUAGAUGACGUCAGACGGGAGGCAGCAUAGGUGUGAUGCUCUGUGUGCUCCAGCAGGGGGUGCCAGGAUGGAGGAAGACACAGUCUCUGAUGUCAGAGGCCCGUCCUAUGGCUGGGGAGAUGAGGCAAUUCAUAUAAAGUGACAGGAACCAGCUCAGGACGCUGUGACCGCCACACCAGCCCCAGCAUGGAAAUGCGUGCGGAAGGAGGAGUGAUAGCUGCCGACACCAAGACUCAGGAAGGUUUGGGAAAGAGAGGACAAUGACUUGCUUCUUGAAGGAAGAGCCAAGGCCCUAUGGUAGUGAUGUCACAGAGCCCCGAUGAUCACUGGGUCCAACACACACUGAGCUCUCGGGGAGGCACAUUCAGUAUUUCUUUUUUUUUCUUUUUUAAGAUUUAUAUUUACUGGGGAGGAGGGGCAGCCGGAGAGGGAGAAUCUCAAGCACACUUCCCGCUGAGUGCAGAGCCCAACAUGGGGCCUGAUCACGACCUGAGCUGAAAUCAAGAGUCAGACGCUUCACCAACUGAGCCACCCAGGAGUCCCACGUUAAGUAUUUCUUAAUGAACUUAAUGAACUUGGAAGUGGCAGGACUGGGUGAUGGUUGGGAAGACAGGCUCUAGAGCCAGAUGCUGAGUCUACCACUUAACGAGCUGUCGGGUCCCUGUGCCUCAGUUUCCCCAGCUGUAGAAUGGGGAUGACGAGAGUGCUCCCUCAUGAGGACUGAGGGGGUGGGUGAUUCCAGAGCACUCCAACUCAUGCCUGGCACACACUAGAGGUGAGGUUGCUAUUGCUGUCAUUACUAACCCUAUAACCCCGUAGGGGGAGCCCUUCUCACUGCCCAGAUGGGAGAGCCCGGGUCUGUGCGGGCAAGGUGAUAUAUAUAUAUAUAAAAUAUAUAUAUUUUUAAAGAUUUUAUUUAUUUAUUUGACAGAGAGAUAGAGAGAACAAGUAGGCAGAGAGGCAGGCAGAGGGAGAGGGAGAAGCAGGCUCCCCACUGAGCAGGAAGCCCGAUGCGGGGCUCGAUCCCAGGACCCCGGGACCACGACCUGAGCCGAAGGCAGUUGCUUAACCAACUGAGCCACCCAGGCGCCCCAAGGUGAUAUAUUUUUAACAAUCCCUCAGCUUGUUGGUGGCCGGCAGAGGUGGGACUGGAACCCGACUCCCAGGUCCCAGCUGAUCAUUCCUGUGUGGCAAGCCUGGGAAGCUGUGACCCUUUACCUCCUGUUUGUAGGAGAAAACAAAAUUUGGUCUGAAAGUAUCUAAUAUGUAACCAUAUUGUUCCCAGAAACCAAGAUCAAUAAUUCUGAACUGUAUCAAAAUGCCACAAGAAAGUAAAUGAUUCCACAACUUUGACCACAACUCUUGACGCAUCUAACUUCUGCUGAGCACCACACUGAGGGCUUGGGGAAGGAGAAUCGUUGGGCUUUUUUCUUUUUCUUUUCUUUUCUUUCCUUUUUUUUUUUUUUUUCCCUGUUCAGAAACUUAAAGUUGAGAGAGAGAAGACAAGGCAGAAAGAGCUACGAUAAAACCACGACAGCAAAACUUGUGGGGUGAUUGCUGUGUUUCAGACCCUGUCCUCAGUGCUUUUCAGGUACCCACCUGGUGAAUCUCACCUGAGCACUUUGAGGAUCCCACACUUCACUGGAGUUGGCCAGAGUCCCUUUCUGGUGAAAGUUGAUGGAAGUUUCAGGUUGUAGGAGCCCCACUGGACACAGGCCAUCCUGACUGAUAGAUGAAGAGAAGAUGAUCAGCGGUCCAGCCGGGUUUGUCCUAAAGGGAAAGACCAAGGGCAGCAUGAGUUCAGAAGAACUCUCUGUGAAGCCCUGCAAAUGGGUUCACUCAGUCUGCAGUCAGUGGCUGGGUUGACCAGAGCCUGGCCAGUUGAAGAUGGUGUCAGAUGGGACAACGAGCUUCUCUUGCAAGUUGUCUCUCAUCCUCCUGCAGGCUGGCCUGGGCUUGCUCUUUGCAGGAUUACAAGACGUGGAAUUAAUGCAAGGCCUCUUGAUGACUGGGCCCCAGAUUUUCAGACUGUCCUUUCCACUUCAUUCUUUUGCCUUAAUUAAGUCAUAACAACAACUCGAAUUCGAGGUAUGGAGAAGUAGGUUACACUUCUUGAAGGGAAGUGACUCUCUCAAAGAUCCAAGGACUGUGGCCAUUUUUCACUCUACCACAGAGCCAUUCUUAGCACUAGUCAAUUCCCGAAAGGCAUCAGACUUAUGGCAGUUACAUACCAUUGGAAACACCAUCUCCCCAAGGAGGGCGCCAUGCCUGGAUGGAGCAAAUGGCUUGGAUUGGAAGUGCUUCAUGAUGAUCUCCUACACAGUUUUCAUACCACUUGACAGAAGGAGAAAAUACCAAUCAGUCUUCCUCUGAGAUCUCCAGGGGCAGGUCUUAAGAAGAAGAAACAAAGAGAACAGAAUCUUCAUUGUAGAAUGAAACAUUAUGGCAAUCAAUUUCUAAAUGGUCAGUUCUCAGGGGAGGUGACACCUUCCAUCAUGAGAAAGCUGAGGGGAUGGCUCCAGCACUCCAGCUCUGAGCGCUCCGUGGAGUAAAAACUACUGCAAAGGAAACGUUCCAUCUGGGCAGCUGGUAAAGUCUGGGAAUUCCCGGAUGUAAACACACAGCUUGGGGGAUAAUGUCACUUAGGCAUGGGCAGGGGGCCUGUGUGAUGGCCAAGCCCUGUAAAUCCAGCUGUGUCAGCCACCACUGCCAGGUGGGUUGGUGCCCUCCAGGGCGCAGGGGCAUCCAGAACUGAGAACGGUAAGAACCCAAGAUGGCUGGCUGAGAGCAGCCUCGUCUCACCUGCUGUGUUGGAAAUUCGUUCAUGCCCUGAAAGUAUUUGCUGGCUUUUUAGUUCCCAAUAAAUAACUAAGUCUUCAGAGGUGACUCCAGAGGUGACCUGGUACCUAAACUGCCCCCAACCCCCCGUUAUACUCAUAGGAUAACAAGCCAUUUGUCUGUGCAAGUGUGGAUAGAAAGUAAGGGCUUGCCUAAAGGCUUCCCCAGGGAGCCAGGAGCCCAGCUCUGAACCGCCCGUCCAGCUUUGCCCUUGCCCCGUCUUUUCACCUCCUUGCUCCAGGUGACUGUUGAUUCUUGUUCAGCACUUGCAGCAGACAGACCUUUGGGUGGCCCUCAUAUGCCCACCUGGUGUAACCGCCUCUUCUUGAACCUGGGAGGGACCUCUGACUACUCCGAACAACAGAAUACAAAGAUGAUGAAGGGACGCUCCUGGGAUCAGGUCACCUUACAUGGCAAAAGUAGGGGAAUGCCACUCCUGAUCCAGGAUUCUGUCUGAUGUGAAAAUGGGUGGAAGGCAGGUCCCUCAUAACAGUGAGGUGACGAGGAAGUCAGCAAGUCAAGGAGAACUAAACUGUGAAGUGCGAAGUGUGGGCAAAGAACAACAACUCGUCAAAGAAACUGCACAGAGAAGAUGGAAUUUCAAAAGGGUCAAUAUGGGGAAAGUUGCAGGAAUGGGAACCUUUAGAAUGUCACUGGCAUUGUGGCCUGGGCCGGAGCCCCAGCAUCCACUGAGAUCAAAUGCUAUCUGUUCUGCAAAGCUUUCUUUGAAUGGCCUCCAACCCAACUUAAAGUUAAAUGUCACCCUCUCUUCAUCCUGCAGUUCUUGCUUUGUGCCUCUAUUACAAUCGAUUUAAUUUGCCUCUUAGUCAAUUACUUACUUUAGAUUUUCAGCUCCUCCAGAGAAAGCCACGUGUCAUGCUCAUUUUUAUUUUUCGGUCACACCUUCCCGACGUACACAAGGAACCUUGAAGUAAAAACUGGCUAGUGCUUACCUGAUGGAUUUAACCAGCAGGCCAUGUGUAUGGCAAUUCAAUCGUCAACACAUUGCCACAGACCAAAAAUUUUGCCCUGUGGGACCACACAGAGCAAUUUCUCACUCUGGAAACGAAGAGUUCUUCCACCAGCCAAGCCUAUAACUCAACGUUGGGAACUCUAUCACUCAUGGGACAACGUCCAUGCCCUGAAACUCUCUGAGCUUCUGUAAGUCCCUUUGUCCUCAUGGAGCAGUGGAGACUGUGUUUCUCAUUCCUUCUGUGUCACUCUCCAGAUAUUAGGAGAUGGCCAUCCUUGCCUUUCCUUGGGUAAAUAUCAUUUGUCACCUAGUGUGGUAGCUACAUCUGUCAUUGGUAUUGUCCCCCUCCAGUGAAUUGUCUCUUAUGUCCUAAAAUGCAGUGCCUGACCUGAACCUGGGUCUCUCCCAGCCCACCACGUCGCAGGAUCAGAACUACUUUUGGUGGGGACCCCGAGUGUCGACUAAGGCAGUCCAAAAUCCCUUGGGUUUGUUUUUGGCUACAGAAAAUCAUGGAAGCCCAGCAUGCAUGGGGCCAGGUCCUCUCUCCCUGAACUGCUCCUAAGCCAAGAUUCUUAGACUCUCUAUUCCUCAUUUUGGAAUACAUUAAAUCACUUUACAUCCAUUCCUAUUACAUUUCUUCUUGAUGGUUUUGGGGCCGUUGGUCUAGCAGGAUAACAUUUCGGAUCCUGAUUCUUUUGUUUAAUGUAUUAGCAUCCCUCCCACAUUCAUGUCAGUCAAUGUUCUAAUAAGCAUGCCUCCUAUAAUACUGCUCAAGACACUGAUGAGCUUGCUGAACACAUCAGGGCCAAAAACAAAGCCCUGGAGCGCACGGCCAUGGUCCUCUCUCUAGGUGGACAUCACUCUAUUAAUCAACACUUUGGAUACGCUUGUCUGGCCAGCUACAAAUUCACUUAGCUGUACUCCAAUCCCACUCCCAUUUCUCCCUCUUGUCCACAAGAAUAUCCUGUGCAACUCUGUCAAGUGCCUUGCUGAAAUCCAGAUCCACUGAUCAACCAGCCUAAUAACCCUAUCAGGAGAGGAAACGAGAUUAGAUUGGGGUGACUUGUCUUUAGAGCGGCCAGCCUCUUGGCAGUCACUGUUUGUCCCCGAGCUCACAGAUCAACCCAUAAUGAUUCGUUCUCAUGUUCUGCCAGGGAUCAAUAUUAAGCUCACUGGCCUGUUUUUCACAGAAUAUUCCUUCCUCUCCAUGCUCUACCUCCUUAUCUUGAAUCCCUCUGCCAGCCCUUUUGAAAAUGGAACCCUUUGCCUGCCUUAAGUCUGAGGACUCUUUCCUUUUUUUCCUGAUUUCUUGAAUAAUCUUUACAUCUUCUGUCACGUUCAGGUCUCCUGAUAAUUCCUGGGGAUCUCUUACUGUCCCCCAGCCUUGGUUUACUCCUCUGGGGAAAAUGAUGCCAAUCUUAUGUAACCCCUGGGUCACUUUAAGCACCAGAUAAAGAAAUAUGUGUGAAAGCUCCUUACACAAGCCCAGCAUAGAGUUGAUAGUUGUUAAUUGAAUAAACUACAAAGAACCAUAUAAAGAAUUUAACUCUAAUUGCAUGAGAUACUCACAGAUACCCACAGAAUACAUUUCUAGAAAGCCAAAUAAACUACUUUGAAUUUCACUGUGUGCUCUCAUAAUUUCAGAAAGAUGUUCCUCAAAGAAUCUAAAAAUCUUUGGCCCGAUUGUCAAUUCAAAAUGAGCUUACCCUAAAAUCGGAUUUAAUAGAAACCUAAGGUACACCCCAAUUGCUUAUUUCUACUUAAGGAAAUUUAAGACUGUUGAUAUAGUUUGCAUCAGUGUUCUUUGCUGGUUGAAAUGGAUAAAUUGAAUGAUGAGGUUUUGGAUCAAAUAGAUCCAGGUAUUUGAAACCUGGAAAAAAAAAUUUCAGCU